rnacentral:misc_RNA from 1 species
AUUUGCUCCUGCUCCACCAUCUCACUUGAUGUUCAACCAGAUGAGACCUUCAAUACCAAAUCACCACUAGUAUUAUCAAAAACUUACCAUCAACAGCACUCAAUUAGUCUAUCAAAAUUGUCACAGCAAAGUUGUAAGAACAGCCUGCUGUGAUCAAGAAGCUUCAAAGCUAUAUAUGUCACUGCAGAUCAGUGCAGACCUUAUUCUCGCUGCAUGUCAGUAAACACUUGGAGGAAGGUACAUAAACUGCAGCGUCACCAAAAUUGCCGCCAACACGACCAACCUCUUUUUCAUCAUCAUCGCUGUCGAGGUCUUUUGGAGUA